UGGUGAGGGAGGGUGGUG
rnacentral:miRNA from 1 species